GGGUGACUAGUAUAGUGGUCAGUACACUUCGUUGUGGUAAUUCCUUAUAUCAGGAAGCUUCAAUUCCGAAGAAACCCAGGUUCGAUUCCUGGGUCGCCCA